UUGUCUCUCCUGUCCUAUUAGGGUCCUGUUUGCAUCCAACCAGUUGUUUCCAAGAGCUAGGCUUUGAUACUUAAAAUAAGAACCACUAUGGGUAUUUCUAGUUAUAGUUUCUUUCUGUUUUUAUUUGUUGUCAUAAUCCCAACCCUAGAAGCUCAUAUCGCUGAGUAUGACGAGUACUGGACGGCACGAGAAUUGGAAGCCAUUGAGAACCUGGACAAGGCCUAUCACUCCAACCCGGAGGAGGUGGUCCGCCAUUACAAUGACCACUUCUCUAGGACCAUGCUCGAGUUUUAUAUCACCAAAAGGGUGUUGGCAGAAUCAAAAAAGGGUCCCUGUGAGGUUACCAACCACGUUGACAGUUGCUGGCGAUGUGAUCCUGACUGGGAAAAGAAUAGGAAGAAGUUGGCCAACUGUGCCCCUGGAUUUGCUCGAGGUACUACCGGUGGAAAGGAUGGUGAGUUUUACGUGGUCACUGACCCUAUUGAUAAUGCUGCUGACCCCAAGCCUGGAACUCUGCGUCAUGCUGUCACCCAAACUGGACCACUUUGGAUCACUUUCAAAGGGUCCAUGACCAUCAAGCUGCAACAGGAGCUCAUUGUUACAAGUGAUAAGACCAUUGAUGCGAGGGGAGCCAAUGUGGAAAUUUGUAAUGGUGCUGGUAUCACUAUCCAAUUUGUGAAGAAUAUCAUUAUCCAUGGCCUUCAAAUCCAUCACAUUAUUCCCGCCAAGGGUGGCAAGAUCAAGGAUGGUGAAAACCACCAUGGGUUACGGGGUGACAGCGACGGAGACGGGGUGUCUAUUUUUGGAUCAACCAAUGUUUGGCUUGACCAUCUUGCCCUUCACCAUUGCGCCGAUGGCCUUAUCGAUGUCGUUCAAGGAUCAACUGCCGUUACCGUUUCUAACUGCCACUUCACUGACCAUAACGAUGUAAGCUUACUUUCCUUUCAAUUUUAAACUACGCACGAUGAGGAAUUUUUUGAUUGACAAAAAUAAUACAAUUGAAAUGAAAAAAAUUACAGGUGAUGUUGUUUGGAGCAAGCGACUCUUACAGUGCCGACAAGAAGAUGCAGGUCACUGUUGCUUUGAACCACUUCGGUAAAGGAUUGGUAGAGAGGAUGCCUAGGUGCCGAUUUGGUUUUAUUCAUGUCGUCAACAAUGACUACAAUCACUGGUUCCUGUAUGCCAUUGGCGGCACCAGCAACCCUACAAUUAUCAGCCAGGGAAAUAGGUAUUCAGCGCCAGGCUUUGGGGCUAAAGAGGUGACCUGUAGGGGCCUCUUAAAGCCGGGACAGUGGAAGAAUUGGAAUUGGGUAUCACAAGGUGACCACUUCGAGAACGGUGCCUUCUUUACACCAUCAGGUAAUCCAAGUGCCAGCAAGCAAUUUGGCGCCGACAAAAUGAUGCCUUUCAAACCUGGUCAAAUGGUCCCCGAGCUCACAAAGUAUGCCGGACCACUAAGCUGCACAAUCGGCCGUCCUUGCUAAAAAUGCUAUUUUUAUAUGCAUUUGUCCUCCCUUUUUUACGUACAAUAUUUGAUACCCAAGCAUAGUACAUUUGGUAUCUUUUCUGAAUGAUUGUCAGUAAAUUUUCUUUUAUGCGAUCCCACCCUAUUCUCUUCUUCUCUCCUAGUAAUAGAUAAUCACAAUUUUUUUCUCACGCGUGACUGUGGAAAUCAUAAAUUUAGAACAUAAAUGUUUGUUUGAAAAUAACAUAUAAUGAAUAAUGAAAUGUGUGGUUUGAAAUAAAGUAACAAUAAUAACAUUGAUUAUCAUGGUGUUUUCAUCAAUCUUUAGUUGGUGUAGGCACCAAAUCAAUCAAAUACAUUAAUCUAACAUAUCUAGUAUAUAUAUUCUAUUGCAAGGUUUUUUUGGAUUUGUGGAAACCUUCAGUUUGAAGUGAGUUUAGAAUUCGCUAUGCGUCACCAAUCAUUUCAUGACAGCAAUGGAAAUUAAUGAAAUAAAAUAUUUGGUUAGAACUAAAGUUGCGUAAUUAAUUAAAAAUUUUAACAAUCGCGAGACCAUUUAGUUUCUAUAAAUUUUGCAUGUCCCAACUUACAUAUUCGGGUAAUUAGUCAUUUGUCAAAACACAUCAAAGUGAGAAAAGAAAGAAACAAGAAUCAUGGUCAUUCCUCAUAUAGUUAUAUUCGUAAUAAUGCAAUCGCAACGGUGAUUCCACCAGGUGUUCUUGCAUCACCAAGAACUAAAUUGAUUUUCUAGAACAAGAUUUAUAAUGGAGACAUCAAGUAUGUAUUUAAGGUGGUGUAUGAGUUAGAUUUCUUUAAGACUCAGCGGGGGUCGGGGAGCCGCCCAAGACAUUGCUUUUACCAGUAUAAAGUCAAAUACCGAAGCAAAAAAACUUGCAAAGCCGAGAGGACAUAGGAUUAAUAAUUCAGCACCUAUGUUUUGAGUUGCUCCAUAGUUGACGCGUGGUAUCAGCUUAGUAAGGGCUUAAAUAAUCGUAUAGAUAUUUAUAAUUGAUGGACAUAAUAAAGUAUGCUUAACAAAUUUGAAAAUCAAAAAAGAAAAUCAAUGUCUUGGUACAGUGUUAAAUUUAUGGUUUUACUAGCAUAAUAAUUGAUUUGGGUUCAAAUCCCUUCGACAACAUAUUUUAUAUUCUUUUAAAACAAUAAGAAUUAAAAUAACCUUCAAUAAUAUAACUUAUUUUAAACAUGACAGGAAUGUAUUUCUAAUUUCCGUAAUAGAGUCGAUGCUCGAUCGACUCAUGUCACCGAAUUAGUUAAGGACUUCAAUAAAUGUUAGUAUAGAUUGUAACAAUAAUGAAAUAUGCAUUAAAAAUCACCACAGAGGUUCAAUAUACACUCGAAUCUCUGUACUCUUUUAGACUUUUAAAAUUUGAAUACAUAGUGCUUUUAUAUUCAAAGGUCCAAGUAAUAAAUUAGAGUCCAAUUCAUAUCACAUAUUCAGAUUUGAGAGAAAUAAAUAAACUCUCUUACCAAUUGAACUUUUAUUUUUUAAAUCAACCAAGUGCAAGGAUUAAAAUCUUGAAAUUGAAAGGAGAGAGGUUUCAUCUGGAAAUGUUGAAGAGUAAAGGGAUUGGAGGAUAAUUAGAGAUUUUUUUUGUAAUUUCUGAAAUUAGACGUUUAGAAUGGUCUAAAAAAUGCAAGAAAACCUCAACUGUUUCUAUCCAAAAAAAAGGAAACAAAAUCCAACCAUUUUUUACGCACUUGAAACACUAGUAGCCAAGUGUGUUUUGUAAAUUUGGAAAUUUUCAUGAAUCCCGGUGUACUAUAAAUAGUGACAUAAUGAUGGUGUUCCAAGCAAAUCAUGCUCGAGUUCAAGUUUUUGGUGCCGUAGCUUGUCUCUCCUGUCCUAUUAGGGUCCUGUUUGCAUCCAACCAGUUGUUUCCAAGAGCUAGGCUUUGAUACUUAAAAUAAGAACCACUAUGGGUAUUUCUAGUUAUAGUUUCUUUCUGUUUUUAUUUGUUGUCAUAAUCCCAACCCUAGAAGCUCAUAUCGCUGAGUAUGACGAGUACUGGACGGCACGAGAAUUGGAAGCCAUUGAGAACCUGGACAAGGCCUAUCACUCCAACCCGGAGGAGGUGGUCCGCCAUUACAAUGACCACUUCUCUAGGACCAUGCUCGAGUUUUAUAUCACCAAAAGGGUGUUGGCAGAAUCAAAAAAGGGUCCCUGUGAGGUUACCAACCACGUUGACAGUUGCUGGCGAUGUGAUCCUGACUGGGAAAAGAAUAGGAAGAAGUUGGCCAACUGUGCCCCUGGAUUUGCUCGAGGUACUACCGGUGGAAAGGAUGGUGAGUUUUACGUGGUCACUGACCCUAUUGAUAAUGCUGCUGACCCCAAGC
rnacentral:lncRNA from 1 species